rnacentral:snRNA from 1 species
GCAUACCUUUGUGUACAUCCGAUGAAAUUGGAACUAUACAGAGAAGAUUAGCAUGGCCCGCACAAAUCGAGAAACGAUCAUAGGGAGAGGCCCCGUAAAGGCAA